rnacentral:lncRNA from 1 species
UUCCUUCUGAUCAUUGCUUUGCUGUUGCUGCAUUGACAAUGAGAAGGCUUGAAACAAACUAGCAAUAGAUGGAUCCAUGUGCAUACCUUGUCCUUUAGAAGACUCCCCACCAGAAACUUCUCCCAAAAAUCCUUCAAAAUUUUUAUUUUCGUUUUCUAUAAAAAUAAAGAUAAAAUCAACCAAAAUCCAAUACCUUCUACCUCAAGCUUUCACGUCGGGUUCACCACUUAUGUCGUA